rnacentral:rRNA from 1 species
CGAGAAGACCCUAUGGAGCUUUAGGCACUAAAACUGAUCAUGUAAAAACCUCUUAUAAAAGAAUAUAACUUUAUGAAAGCAGUUUAAUUGCCUUUGGUUGGGGCGACCCAGG